GACGAACGCUGGCGGCGUGCUUAACACAUGCAAGUCGUACGGUAAGGCCCUUUCGGGGGUACACGAGUGGCGAACGGGUGAGUAACACGUGAGUAACCUGCCCACAACUUUGGGAUAACGCUAGGAAACUGGUGCUAAUACUGGAUAUGUGCUCCUGCUGCAUGGUGGGGGUUGGAAAGCUCCGGCGGUUGUGGAUGGACUCGCGGCCUAUCAGCUUGUUGGUGGGGUAGUGGCCUACCAAGGCUGCGACGGGUAGCCGGCCUAAGAGGGUGACCGGCCACAUUGGGACUGAGAUACGGCCCAGACGUCUACGGGAGGCAGCAGUGGGGAAUAUUGCACAAGGGGCGCGAGCCUGAUGCAGCAACGCCGCGUGCGGGAUGACGGCCUUCGGGUUGUAAACCGCUUUCAGCAGGGACGAAGCUUUUUGUGACGGUAACUGCAGAAGAAGCACCGGCUAACUACGUG
rnacentral:rRNA from 1 species